rnacentral:rRNA from 1 species
UACGUAGGGGGCGAGCGUUAUCCGGAAUUAUUGGGCGUAAAGGGUUCGCAGGCGGCCUUGUAAGUCAGAUGUGAAAGACAGCGGCUUAACCGUUGUAAGCAUUUGAAACUGCAGGGCUUGAGUACAGGAGAGGAAAGCGGAAUUCCUAGUGUAGCGGUGAAAUGCGUAGAUAUUAGGAGGAACACCAGUGGCGAAGGCGGCUUUCUGGACUGAUACUGACGCUGAGGAACGAAAGCGUGGGGAGCAAACAGGAUUAGAUACCCCCGUAGUCCCUGA